rnacentral:rRNA from 1 species
UACGGAGGGGGCUAGCGUUGUUCGGAAUUAUUGGGCGUAAAGGCGCGUAGGCGGCCGAAUAAGUCUGACGUGAAAUCCCACGGCCCAACCGUGGAACUGCGUUUGAUACUGUUCGGCUCGAGUCCGGGAGAGGGUAGCGGAAUUCCCAGUGUAGCGGUGAAAUGCGUAGAUAUUGGGAGGAACACCGGUGGCGAAGGCGGCUACCUGGACCGGUACUGACGCUGAGGCGCGAAAGCUAGGGUAGCAAACAGG